rnacentral:rRNA from 1 species
GCUUAACACAUGCAAGUCGAGGGGCAUCAGUUUGGUUUGCUUGCAAACCAAAGCUGGCGACCGGCGCACGGGUGAGUAACACGUAUCCAACCUACUUCAUACUCGGGGAUAGCCUUUCGAAAGAAAGAUUAAUAUCCGAUAGCAUAUAUUUCCCGCAUGGGUUUUAUAUUAAAGAAAUUCGGUAUGAGAUGGGGAUGCGUUCCAUUAGUUUGUUGGGGGGGUAACGGCCCACCAAGACUACGAUGGAUAGGGGUUCUGAGAGGAAGGUCCCCCACAUUGGAACUGAGACACGGUCCAAACUCCUACGGGAGGCAGCAGUGAGGAAUAUUGGUCAAUGGACGCGAGUCUGAACCAGCCAAGUAGCGUGAAGGAUGACUGCCCUAUGGGUUGUAAACUUCUUUUAUAUGGGAAUAAAGUGGUCCACGUGUGGACUUUUGUAUGUACCAUAUGAAUAAGGAUCGGCUAACUCCGUGCCAGCAGCCGCGGUAAUACGGAGGAUCCGAGCGUUAUCCGGAUUUAUUGGGUUUAAAGGGAGCGUAGGCGGAUUGUUAAGUCAGUUGUGAAAGUUUGCGGCUCAACCGUAAAAUUGCAGUUGAUACUGGCAGUCUUGAGUGCAGUAGAGGUGGGCGGAAUUCGUGGUGUAGCGGUGAAAUGCUUAGAUAUCACGAAGAACUCCGAUUGCGAAGGCAGCUCACUGGAGUGUAACUGACACUGAUGCUCGAAAGUG